GCCCAACCAGAUACGAACUGAGGGCCAUGAAAGCUGACUCACCUUCGCAGCAGAAGAUCAUGAUUCUUGGCUAUGCAAACCUGAGGCUGAUGCAUCCUCCAGCAGCUGACCACGGACAUGUGCAGCAUCACAGUGACAGAUGGCAUUUCAACCACUUGGUUUACACCUUCCUCCACUGUCACCACCAUUCUGACAGAAAUGAGUUCCAUUUGCUCCAUUUUACAUAAGGGCAAAAGGCAGCAUUGACUCACCAAGUUUACACAGUUAGGGAAAAGAGCAACCAGGAGAGACUACAUAAGGAAAUGCAGACCCAAAGGCACAGUUAGAUUGAACACUUACAUACAGAAUUAAAGAGUCAUGAAUUGUGAAAAUGUCACAAGGCCAAGAAGCUUGGGCUGAGUGGUUAAUUGAGUGAAAAAGUGGCUCGGAAGGUAUCUCCGCCCUAUGAAGGCCUUGAUGGGGAGCAACUCAGGCCUUGAAGGUAAAUGUCCUGUCCCACAGGUGCCAUGAGCUCCGGGAAGUAGAGACGUGAUCAGACUCCCCUGCUACAGCCUUGUACUUGUCACCGAAGGGAGAUGUGCAGGUGCAAGCCCGACCAAGGGACACCUCCGUGGCCAUGACAGCUUUUCUUCUUAAAAGAAAAAACCGGACCGUGGGUUCAGAAAUCCAAAUCCAUUUGUUUAUACUCGAUUCAUACCAAAGACUACAAAAUAUACUUGUUAAUCUAUAUUUAAUAUAGCUACUUAA
ensembl:lncRNA novel transcript